rnacentral:ribozyme from 1 species
AGAUUGGGCAUACUGCUGGAUCGUUUGUCAAGCUUUGUGAGAGAAAUCUGGAAGAUACAACCAAUAUUGUAGAUUUACAAAAUAUUUUUUUUUCUUUUCUUGAGAGCGAACUGACAGCUCUUGAAGAAGGAUGGAAAGAGAAAGAACAACAGCACCAACAAACAACAAAUAUUGUCAAGCAACAAACCAUAUCUCUCA